UCUACGGGUGGCUGCAGUGAGGAAUAUUGGUCAAUGGGCGGAAGCCUGAACCAGCCAAGUAGCGUGCAGGAUGACGGCCCUACGGGUUGUAAACUGCUUUUAUACGGGGAUAACGCCCCUUACGUGUAGGGCUUUGCAUGUACCGUAUGAAUAAGGACCGGCUAAUUCCGUGCCAGCAGCCGCGGUAAUACGGAAGGUCCGGGCGUUAUCCGGAUUUAUUGGGUUUAAAGGGAGCGUAGGCCGCAUGUCAAGCUUGCUGUGAAAUGUCCGGGCUCAACCCGGGCCUUGCAGCGCGAACUGGCGUGCGUGAGACCGCGGAAAGCAGGCGGAAUGAGUCGUGUAGCGGUGAAAUGCUUAGAUAUGACGAAGAACACCGAGUGCGAAGGCAGCUUGCUGCGGCGGAACUGACGCUGAUGCGCGAAAGCGCGGGUAUCGAACAGGAUUAGGUACCCUGGUAGUC
rnacentral:rRNA from 1 species